CCUACGGGAGGCAGCAGUAGGGAAUCUUUCACAAUGGGCGAAAGCCUGAUGGAGCAACGCCGCGUGCAGGAUGAAGGCCUUCGGGUUGUAAACUGCUUUUAUAAGCGAGAAAUAUGAUGGUAACUUAUGAAUAAGGAUCGGCUAACUACGUGCCAGCAGCCGCGGUCAUACGUAGGAUCCGAGCAUUAUCCGGAGUGACUGGGUGUAAAGAGUUGCGUAGGUGGCAUAAUAAGUAGCUAGUGAAAUCUGGUGGCUCAACCAUUCAGACUAUUAGCUAAACUGUUAAGCUCGAGAGCGUUAGGGGUAACUGGAAUUUCUGGUGUAGGAGUGAAAUCCGUAGAUAUUAGAAGGAACACCAAUGGCGUAGGCAGGUUACUGGGACGGUUCUGACACUGAGGCACGAAAGCGUAGGGAGCAAACGGGAUUAGAUACCCGUGUAGUC
rnacentral:rRNA from 1 species